UACGGGGGGUGCGAGCGUUGUCCGGAAUCACUGGGCGUAAAGGGCGCGUAGGUGGUUUGAUAAGGGUGUGGUGAAAGUCCGGGGCUCAACCCCGGAUCUGCCGUGCCGACUGUCAAACUCGAGGACUGUAGAGGCAGACGGAAUUCCGGGUGUAGCGGUGGAAUGCGUAGAGAUCCGGAGGAAGACCGGUGGCGAAGGCGGUCUGCUGGGCAGUUUCUGACACUGAGGCGCGACAGCGCGGGGAGCAAACAGG
rnacentral:rRNA from 1 species